rnacentral:miRNA from 1 species
UUCCUCCCGGCCGCUGAGAGUGUAUACUCUCACCAGCCGAGAGGAAUCCCUCUUGGUUGAUGAGAGUGUACGCUCUCAUUGACCGAGAGGGAUUCCUCUCGGCCGGUGAAAGAGUACACUCUCACUGGCCGGGAGGAA